rnacentral:rRNA from 1 species
AACGUAGGACACAAGCGUUAUCCGGAGUUACUGGGCGUAAAGGGCGUGUAGGCGGACCUAUAAGUCUAUUCUGAAAGCUCCUGGCUAAACUGGGAGAGGCGAAUGGAGACUGUAGAUCUAGAGUGAGGAAGAGGAAAGUGGAAUUCCGCGUGUAGUGGUGAAAUGCGUAGAGAUGCGGAGGAACACCAAUGGCGAAGGCAAUCCCCUGGGCCUGUACUGACGCUCA